UUAUUCCAGGUUGACCUCGGAUCAGGUAGGGAUACCCGCUGAACUUAAGCAUAUCAAUAA
rnacentral:rRNA from 1 species